UAGUUGACUCAAGUGAAGUCUUUCAAGCUUUUGGCUUUCCUCCCCGAUCCCAUUUCCCCUUCGUGCCACUGUGCAAACCCUAGAUCGUCUUCCUUCACAGCCCACACCCAAGCUUGUUACACUGCCCCUCCCUUUAAAACACAUUGUCCACAAGGUGGGGAAAGGUACUCUUCAGCCAUGAAUAUGGCUCCCAUGUUGCUUUUUCUUCGGAAUGCCCUCGCCACUUCACCAAUAAUUCUACUCGAGCUUCGUUACUAGCCUUUACCAUUCGACAAUUCCAUACAAUUUUGGGCUUAAGGUGAAGGAUUCCAUGGUCGUCGACGGGAGGCAGCAUUGGCAUCAUGGUAACAUUGUCUCUCACCCUCUUCUUUAACUACGAAGUGUGGAAUGUAGGAUGGAUCCGAGAUCCUUCUGGUAGAUCUAUACGAUAAGCCACUUAUCCUAUUUUUUGUAAAACUUGGAAGGGUCCGAAAAACCUAGGGGAUAGUUUAAGGCUUCUGCAAUGCACCACUGAUCUUUGUUUGUAAGGUUGUAAUUUUAGGAAGACCCAAUCACCAAUUUCCAAUGAUUGCUCCUUUCUAUUUAGAUCUGCAUAUCUCUUCAUCUGAUUUUGUGCCUUCUGUAGGUUUUCUUUCAAUAGCUUGGAUAUUUGAUCACGGGUUUUCAAAUUGCUCUCCACUGCUUCCAACCUUGCAGUGUCUGGUAUUGUUUCAAAUGGUGUGAACCCAGUAGAUAGAUGUGUAGUUGUGUUGUACCACCAUUCUACUAGUGGUAACCAUAGGACCCAGUCACUUGGAUGAUCCCUACUAAAACACCUUAAGUAGUUUUCAAGAGUUUUAUUCACAGCCUUUGAUUGGCCAUCCAUUUGAGGGUGAUAGGCCGUGGUUAGGGACAUUUGUACCCCCUAUAAAGCGAAUAACUCCUGCCAAAAGCCACUUGUAAAUGUAUUGUCCAUGUCUAAGACAAUAGAUAGAGGUAGCCCAUGCAAUUUGAAAAUCUGUUUGAUGAAGAGUUCUGCUAUGUCUUUGGCAAUA